rnacentral:lncRNA from 1 species
CCCAACAGCGACGUGCCAACCUCGAUGUCAAAGGAAUCGUAACGCAGGAACAGCUCCACCACAAAUAGCCUGGCGGCCAGCACCACGAAGUCUUUACCUGCGCACUGCUUAUUCCCCAAGGUUGGAUUCUCGGUUUCAGGUCCGUUUGACCAGAGCACGUGCUUCAGCAGCUUCUCACCCUCACCCACGAACCGAUCCGGCACGAACUCUUCGGAUCGUUCGAAGAUUUUCGGGUCUUUGGUGGCGAACGGUUGGUACCCGAACAACAUUUCACCUUCUUUGACUUCAAAAACAGAGUCGUGGCUUUCGAUCACCA